CAGGCAUAAUCCAAUAGGCUGAGAGCCUCAAUAAAACAAAAGAGUAAGUAAACUUACUCUCUCACUCUGAGAGGGAGCUGGCACACCCUCAGAGCUCGGACACACUUCUUCUCUUGCCCUUGGACAUCAGAAUAGCAGGAUCUCCCGAAUACCAGAUUCUCUAAGCUUCGAACUGUGGGAUUUGCACUAGUGGACUCAGGACUUACCCCUGAGAAUCCAGGGUUUCCAGGUUUAUGACCUCCAGCUGAGAGUUGUAUCAUUGGCUUUACUGAUUCUGAAGAUUUUGGUCUUAGGCUGUACUUGCUACAAUCAUCUCUGGCUCUCCAGUUUGCAGAUGGUUUCUCCUGAAGCUUCUCAACCUCCAUAACUGUAGUCAUUAAGUUUUGCUGUCCUGGUACCUAAGGAGGAAUGCUUUCACCAGGGAACCCAUCUAUCGUUCUGUUACAUUAAGAGAAGAUGUUUUGUGUUUUUGAAGCAGGAGACAGACCAAAUGGAGGGCCAGAACUUACAGAUCCAGAAGUUCUCACUUUCAGAUGCUGAAAUACUGGGAUACUCAAGUUUUGAAGGCUUCAUGUGUCAUGUAAACAUACUAGUGGCUAUUAUAUCACCCUGCUGUUAGAAACACUAAAUUAGCAUUCCAUGGAGAAAAGAGACAUUGGGCUAACCACUUGCGCAUCCAGCAUCCAAACCCCAGCAAUAUGCCAGCCUCAGCCAUUGUUUGACUGAAUCUACAUAAGCACCUAAGGACGGAACCACAAAAGUGAACAUUUUUUGAAUCCUGGAUCCAGAAAAACAACGAGAGUUAAUAAAAUAAAUGUUUUGUUUCAAGUCACUAAAUUUUUAGGUAAUUUUUAGGUACACCAAUACCUAAGUGGAACAGAAAUGCAAUACUUGGAAGUAGGGAUCUGAUGUAACAGAAACAUACAAAAUGUGGCUUCGUCUUUGAAACCAAAUGGUUGGUGAAUGUUAAAAAAGACUUGAGGAUACUGGUGGUAAACACUUGAAGGUCAGAGAUGAAAGUGUAUGAGACAAGAAAUAAAAUAAG
rnacentral:lncRNA from 10 species